UGCGUAGGCGGCAUGGUAAGUCAGAUGUGAAAGCCCACCGCUUAACGGUGGAACUGCAUUUGAUACUGCAAAGCUUGAAUCAGGCUGAGGUCAGCGGAAUGUGUCAUGUAGCGGUGAAAUGCAUAGAUAUGACAUAGAACACCAAUUGCGAAGGCAGCUGGCUAGACCUGUAUUGACGCUGAGGCACGAAAGCGUGGGGAGCGAACAGGAUUAGAUACCCUGGUAGUCC
rnacentral:rRNA from 1 species